UACGAAGGUGGCAAGCGUUACUCGGAAUACUAGGCGUAAAGGGCAGGUAGGCGGUUUGGUAAGUCUGUUGUGGAAGCUCCCGGCUUAACUGGGAGAGGUCAACGGAAACUACCAGGCUUGAGUGCAGGAGAGGGUACUGGAAUUCCCGGUGUAGCGGUGAAAUGCGCAGAGAUCGGGAGGAACACCAACGGCGAAAGCAGGUACCUGGACUGUUACUGACGCUCAGCUGCGAAAGCUAGGGGAGCAAACAGG
rnacentral:rRNA from 1 species